AGUGAACGCUGGCGGCGUGCCUAAUACAUGCAAGUCGAACGGAGUGGCGCACGGGUGAGUAAUGUAUAGCUAAUCUGCCCUACACUAGAGGACAACAGUUGGUAACGGCUGUUAAUACUACAUAGUGUAGGAUGAGGCUAUAUUGGAUCAGCUAGUUGGUGAGGUAAUGGCUCACCAAGGCUAUGACGCAUAACUGGUUUGAGAGGAUGAUCAGUCACACUGUAACUGAGACACGGUCCAGACUCCUACUGGAAGCAGCAGUAGGGAAUAGUGCUCAAGGGGGGAAACCCUGAAGCAGCAACGCGGCGUGGAGGAUGACACUUUUCGGAGCGUAAACUCCGUUUAUUAGGGAAGCGGUACCUAACGAAGAAGCACCGGCUAACUCCGUGCCAGCAGCCGCGGUAAUUC
rnacentral:rRNA from 1 species